rnacentral:rRNA from 1 species
GACGAACGCUGGCGGCGUGCUUAACACAUGCAAGUCGAACGGAAAGGCCCUGCUUUUGUGGGGUGCUCGAGUGGCGAACGGGUGAGUAACACGUGAGUAACCUGCCCUUGACUUUGGGAUAACUUCAGGAAACUGGGGCUAAUACCGGAUAGGAGCUCCUGCUGCAUGGUGGGGGUUGGAAAGUUUCGGCGGUUGGGGAUGGACUCGCGGCUUAUCAGCUUGUUGGUGGGGUAGUGGCUUACCAAGGCUUUGACGGGUAGCCGGCCUGAGAGGGUGACCGGCCACAUUGGGACUGAGGUACGGACCAGACUCCUACGGGAGGCAGCAGUGGGGAAUAUUGCACAAUGGGCGGAAGCCUGAUGCAGCAACGCCGCGUGCGGGAUGACGGCCUUCGGGUUAUAAACCGCUUUCGCCUGUGACGAAGCGUGAGUGACGGUAAUGGGUAAAGAAGCACCGGCUAACUACGUG